UUGUGCCCUGACUUGUUGCUAAUUGCAGCUUGGUUUAUGCGUUUUUUCAAAGGGGUUGUAGCUCUGUUCACAAAAAAGUUGUUGCAUAUAUAUGUUAUGUUUGUGAAUUCCCUCAUAUGCAGCUGCUUGGCAUGAAUUUCCUAGGUAACAUGUCCUCAGCUUCUCUCAUAUAUUGCAGGCUGAAGGCACAUGCUCUCAUCUCUGGAGAUGCUUCUCAAAAUUAUCCAAAAAUUGUGGCCUCCUCCUUACGAUCAUCAGGUGUAACAGCCCAAGGUCAGCCCUGUUCGGUGCCGGUGGCUUGGAAGAUGCAAAAGUGUAGGAGUAGAAGCAGUGCAAGGAAGACGUGGCCGUGUGGGAGCAGAAGCAGUAUAAGACUGUCGCUUCGGGCAGCUAUUGCACUGUGCUCCGCCACUGUGCUUGCCUGCACCAUUGUCGAGCAAUGGAGAACUAAGGUGCUCGGUUCCCCAUCAAGGCCUCCUCCUUCAGGAGGGCUCCCGGAUAGCAGUCAGGAGCGCGGCGCACCUGCCCGACCAUUGGAGCAGUGCAGUUCAGUUCAUGGCAGAAUUCUCCUAGACCUUUGGCCUCCUCUGCACCGCCACCGUUAAUCUCUCUAGGUAUUGUCGCCUUCUUUCCCACCCUGGCAGCUGCCUCCAAUGGCAGAAUUGUCACAUUUGCUCUCGCUGGGCUGGAAAGGAAGUAUUCUUGCCAACAUUACUUUGGCGGGUCUGUAGCUGGAGUGCCAUUGGACUCCUGUAAAGCUAGCAAGGGUUGGCUUCCUUCUCCACUGUAAAUUUUCGUACGGUAUUCCAUUGAAACUGAGACUACAUUACAGAGGAACAUGAUGGGAUCUUAAUGAUCCAGCAAGUGGCACUCAUCUUGUUGAAAAACCAAAAGUUUGGGCGAAUCGCAAAGUGGUGGAUAGAAGUUGAUACCUUGAUCAGAGGCUUUCAAAAUAUGGCAUAGCUAUCCUGGAGUAUCGCUUGGGCAACACGCUCUGCUUGUGCGGCUCGUCUAGGCAGAGCUUCCUCCCUGAUGAUUGCCUGGUCACCCAUGCUGCUUCGGUGAUGACUUUGUUUAAUCUGGGAUGACUUCUUGUUGCAUUUUCUUUUGAGGAAUCAGCCAAACCUCUGUUAUGUUUAAGGUAAUAUGACUGGCAAUGUUGUUAAUAGUACGAUGAUGACAUCCCGUGACUGUAUCGGUGUGCUGCUAGCAAAAACAAAUAAAUGAUCUCCUUGGCUUGAAA